GACGAACGCUGGCGGCGUGCUUAACACAUGCAAGUCGUACGGUAAGGCCCUUUCGGGGGUCCACGAGUGGCGAACGGGUGAGUAACACGUGCGUAACCUGCCCACAACUUUGGGAUAACGCUAGGAAACUGGUGCUAAUACUGGAUAUGUGCUCCUGCUGCAUGGUGGGGGUUGGAAAGCUCCGGCGGUUGUGGAUGGACUCGCGGCCUAUCAGCUUGGUGGUGGGGUAGUGGCCUACCAAGGCGGCGGCGGGUAGCCGGCCUGAGAGGGUGACCGGCCACAUUGGGACUGAGAUACGGCCCAGACUCCUACGGGAGGCAGAAGUGGGGAAUAGUGCACAAUGGGCGCAAGCCUGAUGCUGCAACGCCGCGGGCGGGAUGACGGCCUUCGGGUUGUAAACCGCUUUCAGCAGGGACGAAGCUUUUUGUGACGGUACCUGCAGAAGAAGCACCGGCUAACUACGUG
rnacentral:rRNA from 1 species